rnacentral:rRNA from 1 species
CAGAGUAACAAUUGGAGGGCAAGUCUGGUGCCAGCAGCCGCGGUAAUUCCAGCUCCAAUAGUGUAUAUUAGAGUUGUUGCAGUUAAAAAGCUCGUAGUUGGAUUUCUGUCGUGGUCAUCCGGUUCCGCCCGUAUGGGUGUGCGCCUGGUUUGCCCUCGGCUUUCUUCCGUUAGCCUUCGGCGCUUCAUUGCGUCUGUUGGUGUUUCGGAACUUUUACUUUGAGAAAAAUAGAGUGUUUCAAGCAGGCUUGUCGCCCUGAAUACUGCAGCAUGGAAUAAUAAGAUAGGACCUUGGUUCUAUUUUGUUGGUUUCUAGGACUAAGGUAAUGAUUAAUAGGGACAGUUGGGGGCAUUCGUAUUUAACUGUCAGAGGUGAAAUUCUUAGAUUUGUUAAAGACGAACUACUGCGAAAGCAUUUGCCAAGGAUGUUUUCAUUAAUCAAGAACGACAGUAGGGGGUUUGAAGACGAUUAGAUACCGUCGUAAUCUCUACCAUAAACUAUGCCGACUAGAGAUAGGGAAAUGCCUACCUUGGCUUCUCCUGCACCUCAUGAGAAAUCAAAGUCUCUGGGUUCUGGGGGGAGUAUGGUCGCAAGGCUGAAACUUAAAGGAAUUGACGGAAGGGCACCACCAGGCGUGGAGCCUGCGGCUUAAUUUGACUCAACACGGGGAAACUCACCAGGUCCAGACAUGGGAAGGA